ACGGAAGGCAGCAGUCGGGAAUAUUGCGCAAUGGAGGAAACUCUGACGCAGUGACGCCGCGUAUAGGAAGAAGGUUUUCGGAUUGUAAACUAUUGUCGUUAGGGAAGAUACAAGACAGUACCUAAGGAGGAAGCCCCGGCUAACUCUGUGCCAGCAGCCGCGGAAAUACAUAGGUGGCAAGCGUUAUCCGGAUUUAUUGGGUGUAAAGGGUGCGUAGACGGAGAAGCAAGUUGGUUGUGAAAUCCCUCGGCUCAACUGAGGAACUGCAACCGAAACUACUUCCCUUGAGUGUCGGAGGGGUAAGUGGAAUUCCUAGUGUAGCGGUGAAAUGCGUAGAUAUUAGGAGGAACACCGGUGGCGAAGGCGACUUUCUGGACGAUAACUGACGUUGAGGCUCGAAAGUGUGGGGAGCAAACAGGAUUAGAUACCCUGGUA
rnacentral:rRNA from 1 species